rfam:Planctomycetes bacterium DG_58 WOR1_52_54_27809, whole genome shotgun sequence.
CGGGGUGUAGCUCAGCUUGGAUAGAGCGCAUGCUUUGGGAGCAUGAGGUCGCUGGUUCAAAUCCAGUCACCCCGA